UACGAAGGGGGCGAGCGUUGUUCGGAAUUAUUGGGCGUAAAGAGCUCGUAGGCGGUUUGUUGCGUCGGCUGUGAAAUCCCGAGGCUCAACCUCGGGUCUGCAGUCGAUACGAGCAAACUAGAGUGUUGCAGGGGAGACUGGAAUUCCUGGUGUAGCGGUGAAAUGCGCAGAUAUCAGGAGGAACACCGGUGGCGAAGGCGGGUCUCUGGGCAACAACUGACGCUGAGGAGCGAAAGCGUGGGGAGCGAACAGG
rnacentral:rRNA from 1 species